rnacentral:rRNA from 1 species
AGUGAACGCUGGCGGUAGGCCUAACACAUGCAAGUCGAACGGCAGCACAGUAAGAGCUUGCUCUUACGGGUGGCGAGUGGCGGACGGGUGAGGAAUACAUCGGAAUCUACUUUUUCGUGGGGGAUAACGUAGGGAAACUUACGCUAAUACCGCAUACGACCUACGGGUGAAAGCAGGGGAUCUUCGGACCUUGCGCGAUUGAAUGAGCCGAUUUCGGAUUAUCUAGUUGGCGGGGUAAAGGCCCACCAAGGCGACGAUCCGUAGCUGGUCUGAGAGGAUGAUCAGCCACACUGGAACUGAGACACGGUCCAGACUCCUACGGGAGGCAGCAGUGGGGAAUAUUGGACAAUGGGCGCAAGCCUGAUCCAGCCAUACCGCGUGGGUGAAGAAGGCCUUCGGGUUGUAAAGCCCUUUUGUUGGGAAAGAAAAGCAGCAGGUUAAUACCCCGCUGUUCUGACGGUACCCAAAGAAUAAGCACCGGCUAACUUCGUG